AAAAAAAAGAAAGUCCGGAGAGAAAAAAAGCCACCAAAAGCAGGAAGCCACAAAAGCAAGGCUUCAUUCAACGAGGUUGCUUUCGAGGUGGAGUGGCUCACCCUCAACACCGAAGCUCGCCAAGCCAUGGCGGUCGAGGAGGAGGAAUCUUCUCUCAAAGAUGAUCGAAAAGCUUCGAAAUUGGUAAUUAGACAGAGAAUUUGGGAUUUGAUGGAAGAGAAGAAUUUUGCACAAAAUCCAAAACAUGUUCAUCAUCGAAUCCAUAAUUUCGUUUUGCUGCUAAUGAGGAUGAUUUGCUUCAACUCUUUCAUCCUUUUGGAGUCAUAAAAAAGCUUGUGGUGUUGUGUGCCAAGAAUGAGGUUUUCUUCAUGCCUUGAAAUGAAUCUUUUGGUUUUUCUUAGACUCUUAGAACUCACGGAUGAAUUGUUUCAUCAUUCCUGCACAAGGUAAUCAAAACCGGACCGGUCGUCGAACCGAUGAAGGCACUGGUUCAAGGUUCAAUCGGGGUUCGACCGGGAAAGGAGAAUAUUUAUUUCCAAUUUUCCUCUCAUCAAGAACUAUCAACGGAUCAAAGUCAAGGAGGAGAAGAUGAGCUGUCGGCAACUGUUCGGAUGCACAGCCAAAUCAAAUUCUCUUAGUUACGGUUCAUCAAGUGCUUUAUCCCAUGACAGUGGAUGUGCUACUACAAGUUUUUUCUCUCCAUGGAUAUGUCGAAAAGAUUGUAACAUUUCAGAAGUCAGCUGGGACACAAUGUUUAUGAUGGUUGCUGUCAGCUGAACAUUCAGUUCUCAAACCUUGAUGAACUACAAGUGAACUACAAUAAUGAUCGAUCAAGGGACUUCACCAACCCAAAUCUGCCUACAUAGCAGAAAGGUCGACCUUGACAAUCGGGAUAUGGUGGUGAUGCUGGAAUGUAUGCGGGGGUUCAAGGUUCUGGACCUAGGCAAGGUGGAUUCUCUCAUCAAUUGAAGCUGCCUUCGAGGGAGAUUUGCCUACGGGAAUAACUGGAACAAAUGAGAGGUCUACAAUUCUUGUUGCAAACCUCAAUCCCGAUAGAAUCGACGAGGAUAAGCUGUUCAACUUGUUCUCUAUUUAUGGGUACAUUAUGAGAAUUACUCCAUAAUAAACCAGAUCAUGCACUUGUUCAGAUGGGGAUGGUUUCCAAGCUGAAUUGGCCACUUUAUGAAGGGCACGAUGUUGUUUGGAAAGCGGUUGGAGGUGAACUUCUCAAAGCAUCCAAAUAUAACUCAAGGUCCCGAUACACAUGAAUACAUGAACUCGAAUCUCAAUCGAUUCAAUUGCAACGCUGCUAAAAACUAUCGGUAUUGCUGCUCACCUACAAGGAUCAUCCACGUGUCCUCCCUCCCACAAGACAUAAUUGAGAUUGAGCUUGCAAGUCUUCUAGUGGAGCACGGAAUCAUUUUCAACUGCAAAGUCUUAGAGAUGAAUGGGAAAAAGCAGGCUCUUGUUCAGUUUGAGACCGAGGAAGAGGCAACUGAAGCCCUUGUUUGCAAGCAUGCAAGUUCACUUUCUGGCUCUGUGGUCCACAUCUCCUUUUCUCAGUUGCUCAAUAUAUGAUGCGGCACACUUUGACAAGGGAUUCUGAAUUUUGGAACGAUGAUUUUUAUGAGGGAAAUCCCAUCUUCAUUUGUCUUUGUAACUUAUAGGACCUGUUAUUGACUUUUUCUUUUAUAAUCAUUUUUCUUCUCAUCUCCAUUGGUUCUAUUAGUUCUUUUAUGUUGGAUUGUUAACAUAAAGUAGAUGAGGAAAGAUUUAUGGUUGCAGAUGGAAGAAGUUUUGAGGAGUAGAAAAGAGAAAAUUAGUACUUGUUUAGUAUUGAGUGAUUACCAUUUGGUUUUUUAUAAUGAUUGUUGAAUGGUUGAUGUAUAUAUAUUUGGAUUCAGGCUUAAUUAGUUGGCCUUUCUGUUGUAUUCCAAUAAACAUCAAAAUUUUAUUGUCUAAUUAACAAAGCUACAUUGUUGUUUCA